rnacentral:rRNA from 1 species
AUGCAAGUCGAGCGGAAAUUUUAUUGGUGCUUGCACCUUUAAAAUUUUAGCGGCGGACGGGUGAGUAACACGUGGGUAACCUACCUUAUAGAUUGGGAUAACUCCGGGAAACCGGGGCUAAUACCGAAUAAUACUUUUUAACACAUGUUUGAAAGUUGAAAGACGGUUUCGGCUGUCACUAUAAGAUGGACCCGCGGCGCAUUAGCUAGUUGGUGAGGUAACGGCUCACCAAGGCAACGAUGCGUAGCCGACCUGAGAGGGUGAUCGGCCACACUGGGACUGAGACACGGCCCAGACUCCUACGGGAGGCAGCAGUAGGGAAUCUUCCACAAUGGACGAAAGUCUGAUGGAGCAACGCCGCGUGAGUGAAGAAGGAUUUCGGUUCGUAGAACUCUGUUGCAAGGGAAGAACAAGUAGCGUAGUAACUGGCGCUACCUUGACGGUACCUUGUUAGAAAGCCACGGCUAACUACGUGCCAGCAGCCGCGGUAAUACGUAGGUGGCAAGCGUUGUCCGGAAUUAUAGGGCGUAAAGCGCGCGCAGGUGGUUCCUUAAGUCUGAUGUGAAAGCCCCCGGCUCAACCGGGGAGGGUCAUUGGAAACUGGGGAACUUGAGUG